UACGUAGGGGGCAAGCGUUGUCCGGAAUCAUUGGGCGUAAAGAGCGUGUAGGCGGUCCGGUAAGUCGGCUGUGAAAGUCCAGGGCUCAACCCUGGGAUGCCGGUCGAUACUGCCGGACUAGAGUUCGGAAGAGGCGAGUGGAAUUUCCGGUGGAGCGGUGAAAUGCGUAGAGAUCGGAAAGAACACCAACGGCGAAAGCACUCUGCUGGGCCGACACUGACACUGAGAGACGAAAGCCAGGGGAGCGAAUGGG
rnacentral:rRNA from 1 species